rnacentral:sRNA from 1 species
CGCCGCCGCUGUCGCCGCCACCUCCUCUGAUCUACGAAAGUCAUGUUACCCAACACCGGUUGAAGCAGUUGGAGGAAAGGCCUUGCCAUGUAUUGUUGAUGUGAGAGAUGAACAGCAGAUCAGUGCUGCAGUGGAGAAAGCCAUCAAGAAAUUUGGAGGAAUUGAUAUUCUGGUAAAUAAUGCCAGUGCCAUUAGUUUGACCAAUACAUUGGACACACCUACCAAGAGAUUGGAUCUGAUGAUGAACGUGAACACCAGAGGCACCUACCUUGCCUUAUACCAUUGCUAAGUAUGGUAUGUCUAUGUAUGUGCUUGGAAUGGCAGAAGAAUUUAAAGGUGAAAUCGCAGUCAAUGCAUUAUGGCCUAAAACAGCCAUACACACUGCUGCUAUGGAUAUGCUGGGAGGACCUGGUAUCGAAAGCCAGUGUAGAAAAGUUGAUAUCAUUGCAGAUGCAGCAUAUUCCAUUUUCCAAAAGCCAAAAAGUUUUACUGGCAACUUUGUCAUUGAUGAAAAUAUCUUAAAAGAAGAAGGAAUAGAAAAUUUUGACGUUUAUGCAAUUAAACCAGGUCAUCCUUUGCAACCAGAUUUCUUCUUAGAUGAAUACCCAGAAGCAGUUAGCAAGAAAGUGGAAUCAACUGGUGCUGUUCCAGAAUUCAAAGAAGAGAAACUGCAGCUGCAACCAAAACCACGUUCUGGAGCUGUGGAAGAAACAUUUAGAAUUGUUAAGGACUCUCUCAGUGAUGAUGUUGUCAAAGCCACUCAAGCAAUCUAUCUGUUUGAACUCUCCGGUGAAGAUGGUGGCACGUGGUUUCUUGAUCUGAAAAGCAAGGGUGGGAAUGUCGGAUAUGGAGAGCCUUCUGAUCAGGCAGAUGUGGUG